GAUGAACGCUGGCGGCGUGCCUAAUACAUGCAAGUCGAGCGAACAGACGAGGAGCUUGCUCCUCUGACGUUAGCGGCGGACGGGUGAGUAACACGUGGAUAACCUACCUAUAAGACUGGGAUAACUUCGGGAAACCGGAGCUAAUACCGGAUAAUAUAUUGAACCGCAUGGUUCAAUAGUGAAAGACGGUUUUGCUGUCACUUAUAGAUGGAUCCGCGCCGCAUUAGCUAGUUGGUAAGGUAACGGCUUACCAAGGCAACGAUGCGUAGCCGACCUGAGAGGGGGCGAGGCAAAACGGGAGAGAAAAAGGGGUCAAGCCCAAGAGGGGAGGCGCAGAGAGGAAAUCUAGAGGAAGGGGAGAAGGCGUGAGGAGGAAACGAGGGGGGAGGAAGAAGGGUCUAGGAAUAGAAAAACUUUUUUAUGGGGAAAAAAAAAAUGUGAAAGAAACAAGGCACGUCGGAAGGGAACAAAAUAAAAAGACCAGGAAAAAAUACGGC
rnacentral:rRNA from 1 species